UGAAGAGUUUGAUCAUGGCUCAGAUUGAACGCUGGCGGCAGGCCUAACACAUGCAAGUCGAACGGUAACAGGAAGCAGCUUGCUGCUUUGCUGACGAGUGGCGGACGGGUGAGUAAUGUCUGGGAAACUGCCUGAUGGAGGGGGAUAACUACUGGAAACGGUGGCUAAUACCGCAUAACGUCGCAAGACCAAAGAGGGGGACCUUCGGGCCUCUUGCCAUCAGAUGUGCCCAGAUGGGAUUAGCUUGUUGGUGAGGUAACGGCUCACCAAGGCGACGAUCCCUAGCUGGUCUGAGAGGAUGACCAGCCACACUGGAACUGAGACACGGUCCAGACUCCUACGGGAGGCAGCAGUGGGGAAUAUUGCACAAUGGGCGCAAGCCUGAUGCAGCCAUGCCGCGUGUAUGAAGAAGGCCUUCGGGUUGUAAAGUACUUUCAGCGGGGAGGAAGGUGUUGUGGUUAAUAACCGCAGCAAUUGACGUUACCCGCAGAAGAAGCACCGGCUAACUCCGUGCCAGCAGCCGCGGUAAUACGGAGGGUGCAAGCGUUAAUCGGAAUUACUGGGCGUAAAGCGCACGCAGGCGGUCUGUCAAGUCGGAUGUGAAAUCCCCGGGCUCAACCUGGGAACUGCAUUCGAAACUGGCAGGCUUGAGUCUUGUAGAGGGGGGUAGAAUUCCAGGUGUAGCGGUGAAAUGCGUAGAGAUCUGGAGGAAUACCGGUGGCGAAGGCGGCCCCCUGGACAAAGACUGACGCUCAGGUGCGAAAGCGUGGGGAGCAAACAGGAUUAGAUACCCUGGUAGUCCACGCCGUAAACGAUGUCUACUUGGAGGUUGUGCCCUUGAGGCGUGGCUUCCGGAGCUAACGCGUUAAGUAGACCGCCUGGGGAGUACGGCCGCAAGGUUAAAACUCAAAUGAAUUGACGGGGGCCCGCACAAGCGGUGGAGCAUGUGGUUUAAUUCGAUGCAACGCGAAGAACCUUACCUGGUCUUGACAUCCACAGAACUUUCCAGAGAUGGAUUGGUGCCUUCGGGAACUGUGAGACAGGUGCUGCAUGGCUGUCGUCAGCUCGUGUUGUGAAAUGUUGGGUUAAGUCCCGCAACGAGCGCAACCCUUAUCCUUUGUUGCCAGCGGUCCGGCCGGGAACUCAAAGGAGACUGCCAGUGAUAAACUGGAGGAAGGUGGGGAUGACGUCAAGUCAUCAUGGCCCUUACGACCAGGGCUACACACGUGCUACAAUGGCGCAUACAAAGAGAAGCGACCUCGCGAGAGCAAGCGGACCUCAUAAAGUGCGUCGUAGUCCGGAUUGGAGUCUGCAACUCGACUCCAUGAAGUCGGAAUCGCUAGUAAUCGUGGAUCAGAAUGCCACGGUGAAUACGUUCCCGGGCCUUGUACACACCGCCCGUCACACCAUGGGAGUGGGUUGCAAAAGAAGUAGGUAGCUUAACCUUCGGGAGGGCGCUUACCACUUUGUGAUUCAUGACUGGGGUGAAGUCGUAACAAGGUAACCGUAGGGGAACCUGCGGUUGGAUCACCUCCUUA
rnacentral:rRNA from 1 species